AGACACACACCCACCCACCCACCUCACCACCACCUCCACACACCCCACUCAGCUCUCUCACGACGGUAACAAUGGCGUCUUCAAUCUUUUUCACAUGAGCAUCACUAAUAACUCCAAUCAAACCUCUUCAAACAACCCCAUCUUGUCAUACCACUGUUUGUCUCGUACAAUUUGCAAAGAAAUCAACACCAUUGAACCUCUCACCAUCACAUAGUAUCUCUGUUUUCUUCCACUUGUUGCAAACAUAGCCCCAAUUGUAUAUUCCCCUUUAAUCAAAUUGAUGUUGAAAAUUGAAAACCCACAAGGGGUUUUUUGUGGACUUAGGUGUGCGGUUACCUGGAACAAAGAUUGGGAUUGGGUGGUUGUUUACUUCAGCAGCUUAUGAGGAAUCAGAUGGACUUUCAAAGAUUGUUAUGCCGUAUGGAUUAUACUUAACCGGAACCCUAGAUUGGUGGCAGCGAUUGGUUGUCCGACGAAGUUUAGGUAAAGUCCACUUGGUCAGAUUUAAUGAUAAAAAUGAUUUAUUAUAGCAUUUAGGGCUAAAUGACCAAAAAAUAGGGUUCUUAUCUGGUAGAACAGUUAGAGAGAGAGAGAACGACGACAGGUGGGUGGUGUAGCGAUGGCGAUCUGCGAUGCAGCGGUGGUGGCAAGUGGGUUGUGGUGGUGGUAGGAUAGUUCGAUCGAGAGAGAGAGAGAGAGAGAGAGGGAGAGAGAGAGGAGGGGGUGAUCUGCGGUGACGUGGUGUUGGUGGUGGCAGGUGGGUGGUGGUGGUGGCAGCGGCAGGUGGGUCGUGGUGGCGGUGGUGACGACAAGUGGGUUGUGUUGGUGGUAGGAUUGUUAGAGAGAAGGUGGGUGUAUAUUAUAUGAUGUCUGCAUAUAUGAAUUGUUCAUAAACAACUUAAUUUCCUUAACGAACGAACACGAACAUAAACUUGUGUUUAUUAUGCGUUCGUGAACUGUUCGUGAACAUGUCAAUUUCCUUAACGAACGGACACGAACAUGGUCUUGUUCGUGUUCGUUUGAUUGGUUUACAUCCCUACUUAUACGAA